UGAUUGCGUUUUGUGCGCCAGAGCUUGGACACUAGAGCUGCAGCUGCGGCCUCUCCAUUCUCUGAUCAAAGCUUUUCUUUGUUUCUCAACCAAAAACUCCAUCUAUGGACCCACACAACACCGUGCUGAAGGAAGGACCCUGGUUGGGGAUGGACUCUGGCAGUGGGGAGGAAGCUGAAAAUGACAAGUAUCACACAGUGGCCUAAGCCAGUUUGGAUCUUCAUAGAGGAUAUCUAUAGUGUCCUAUGGUUAGAGGUUCUGUCACCCCUUCCUUGGUAUCCUCUAAGAAUGUUAAAAACAAAACAUGAAUGCAGAAGGAUCUGAGGAAACAGGAAAAACCUCACUCUACUUGCAUACCUGUGGCCUCCAGAAUUCAAGUGAAGACACUUCAACUUGGUAGAAUGCAGCUCAUUUUACUCCCAGGGUUCUGGUGACUGUACAGGGAGGGAGGCAGUCUGCAGCAAAAGAGAGGUCAUAUCUCUCAAAAACACUGUUCAGAAAGCAGAUUUGAAUCCACUCUUGGUCUUACCAGUGUGACUGGGUUCCUCUGCUCUCUUCCUUUGAAUAUCUUAGCUGUGGGGGAGUGAUGACACUGGAAAUGGAAGUUGUGGGGAGACAACUUCACAUUGGCAGCUGGAAUUUGGGCUUUAAGUUCAUAUUUGAAGGCCACUUGGACCCUCACAAUGGGUCUCAAUUUUUCUGCAUUUUUACACAGUUUGACAUUGUAGUUCUUCAUUUUUUUAUGGUAUCUUUAUUUAUUUUUUAAUUAAUUUAUUUUAAUUGAAGGC